CUUGACUAUGCUCACCAAUGCAGUCUGAUUCUAUGUUCCCAUCUCUCCCUACUCCUGUCACCACCUCUCUCAACAUCCCAACAUGUCAGAAAAUGUGACACAUUAGUCACAUGGUCAGAUGUGAUCGGCAGUUCUUGGGAACUCCACCGGGUAUGUUCUGUUGGUCGCUGCAAUAUCCAUUCCUCCACCUGGUUCUCAUUUCAGUAAACUGAAACCUCAGCUCUCACUACAAGAUCACCUUAACAUUCUUGAAGAGAAUACUCGGAGGCUGCUGCCCCUUCCACCUCUGGAAAAUCUGAAAAGUGAAGGCCAGACAGAUAAGGACAAGGAGCACAUUCAAUUUCUCUAUGAACGAUCCAUGGAUGCCCUAGGAAAACUUCUGAAGACCAUGAUGUGGGAUAAUGUGAAUGCAGAGGACUGUCAAGAAAUGUUUAAUCUUCUCCGAAUGUGGCUUGUUUCACAAAAAGAGUGGGAAAGAGAAAGAGCCUUCCAGAUCACAGCGAAAGUGCUGACAAAUGAUAUUGCGGUAAGUAAUCCUCUGGAAUGAAUAGACUUUAUUCCUUGUGAACAGCAGGGAUCUCUGAGACGU
rnacentral:lncRNA from 1 species